rnacentral:rRNA from 1 species
GGGGAGUACGAUCGCAAGGUUGAGACUCGAAGGGAUUGACGUGGGCCCGCACAAGCGGAGGAGCAGGUGGUGUAAUUCGAUGAUACGCGAGGAACCUCACCUAGGCUUGAAUGCUUUUGGACCGUCCGGGAUACAGGAUGUCCCUUCGGGGCAAAUUGCAAGCUGCUGCAUGGUUGUCGUCAGCUCGUGCCGUGAGAUGUCGGGUUAAGUCCCAUAACGAGCGCUACCCGUAUUCUUAGUUGCCAUCAGGUAAUGCUGGGAACUCUAAGGUAACUGCCUACGCAAGUAGUGAGUAAGGUGGGGAUGACGUCAAAUCAGCACGGCCCUUACGCCUAGGGCUACACACGUGCUACAAUGGCCAGCAUAGUGGGUUGCUACCUGGUAACAGGAUGCUGAUCUCUAAAUCUGGUCUCAGUUCGGAUUGAAGUCUGCAACUCGACUUCAUGAAGUUGGAUUCGCUAGUAAUCGCGCAUCAGCAAUGGCGCGGUGUAUACGUUCUCGGGCAUUGACACACCGCCCGUCAAGCCAUGGAAGCUGGGAGUGCCUGAAGUCUGUNACCGCAAGGAGCGGCCU